ACGAACGCUGGCGGCAUGCCUAACACAUGCAAGUCGAACGAGACCUUCGGGUCUAGUGGCGCACGGGUGCGUAACGCGUGGGAAUCUACCCUCAGGUUCGGAAUAACUCAGAGAAAUUUGAGCUAAUACCGGAUGAUGACGUAAGUCCAAAGAUUUAUCGCCUGAGGAUGAGCCCGCUUAGGAUUAGGUAGUUGGUGAGGUAAAGGCUCACCAAGCCGACGAUCCUUAGCUGGUCUGAGAGGAUGAUCAGCCACACUGGGACUGAGACACGGCCCAGACUACUACGGGAGGCAGCAGUGGGGAAUAUUGGACAAUGGGCGAAAGCCUGAUCCAGCAAUGCCGCGUGAGUGAUGAAGGCCUUAGGGUUGUAAAGCUCUUUUACCCGGGAUGAUAAUGACAGUACCGGGAGAAUAAGCUCCGGCUAACUCCGUG
rnacentral:rRNA from 1 species